rnacentral:rRNA from 1 species
CAAUAAGCGGAGGAAAAGAAACUAACAAGGAUUCCCCUAGUAACUGCGAGUGAAGCGGGAUGAGCUCAAAUUUAAAAUCUGGCGUCUUCGGCGUCCGAGUUGUAAUUUAGAGAAGCGUUUUCCGCGCCGGACCGUGUACAAGUCUCCUGGAACGGAGCGUCAUAGAGGGUGAGAAUCCCGUCUUUGACACGGACCCCCGGUGCUCUGUGAUACGCUCUCGAAGAGUCGAGUUGUUUGGGAAUGCAGCUCAAAAUGGGUGGUGAACUCCAUCUAAAGCUAAAUAUUGGCGAGAGACCGAUAGCGAACAAGUACCGUGAGGGAAAGAUGAAAAGCACUUUGGAAAGAGAGUGAAACAGUACGUGAAAUUGUUGAAAGGGAAACGCUUGAAGUCAGUCGCGUCCGCCGGGACUCAGCCGCAAGGUGUACUUUCCGGUGGACGGGCCAGCAUCACUUUCAAUCAUCGGAAAAGGUCGAGAGGAAUGUGGCACCUCCGGGUGUGUUAUAGCCUCUCGUCGUAUACGGUGACUGGGAGUGAGGACCGCCUUUGUAGGAUGCUGGCGUAAUGGCUUUAAACGACCCGUCUUGAAACACGGACCAAGGAGUCUAACAUGCCCGCGAGUGUUCGGGUGGAAAACCCGUGCGCGUAAUGAAAGUGAAAGUUGGGAAGGCUAUCGUGGCCUGCACCGACGCCCGGACUUGAGAUUUAUCGAAGGUUCUGCGGUAGAGCGUGUAUGUUGGGACCCGAAAGAUGGUGAACUAUGCCUGAAUAGGGUGAAGCCAGAGGAAACUCUGGUGGAGGCUCGUAGCGAUUCUGACGUGCAAAUCGAUCGUCAAAUUUGGGUAUAGGG